GACGAACCGUGCGAACGUUAUUCGGAAUCACUGGGCUUAAAGCGUGUGUAGGCGGGCGGGCAAGUACCUUGUGAAAUCCCACGGCUCAACCGUGGAACGGCUGGGUAUACUGCCUGUCUUGAGCCAACUAGGGGCGAGCGGAACAGACGGUGGAGCGGUGAAAUGCGUAGAUAUCGUCUGGAACGCCGAAGGUGAAAACAGCUCGCUGGGGUUGUGCUGACGCUGAGACACGAAAGCCAGGGGAGCGAACGGG
rnacentral:rRNA from 1 species